GGGGGUGUAGCUCAGUGGUAGAGUGCUUACCUUGCAUGUGUGAGGCACUGGGUUAAGUCCUCAGCACCAGCA
rnacentral:tRNA from 1 species